rnacentral:rRNA from 1 species
CCAGCCAUGCCGCGUGCAGGAUGACGGUCCUAUGGAUUGUAAACUGCUUUUGCACAGGAAAAAACACUCCGACGUGUCGGAGCUUGACGGUACUGUGAGAAUAAGGAUCGGCUAACUCCGUGCCAGCAGCCGCGGUAAUACGGAGGAUCCAAGCGUUAUCCGGAAUCAUUGGGUUUAAAGGGUCCGUACGCGGUCUUGUAAGUCAGUGGUGAAAGCCCAUCGCUCAACGGUGGAACGGCCAUUGAUACUGCAGGACUUGAAUUAUUGGGAAGUAACUAGAAUAUGUAGUGUAGCGGUGAAAUGCUUAGAGAUUACAUGGAAUACCAAUUGCGAAGGCAGGUUACUACCAAUGGAUUGACGCUGAUGGACGAAAGCGUGGGUAGCGAACAGGAUUACAUACCCUGGUAGUCCACGCCGUAAACGAUGGAUACUACCUGUUGGGAGCAAUCUCAGUGGCUAAGCGAAAGUGAUAAGUAUCCCACCUGGGGAGUACGAACGCAAGUUUGAAACUCAGAGGAAUUGACGGGGGCCCGCACAAGCGGUGGAGCAUGUGGUUUAAUUCGAUGAUACGCGAGGAACCUUACCAAGGCUUAAAUGCAGACUGACCGAUUUGGAAACAGAUCUUUCGC